GGGCUGGGGCUUAUUGGUAGAGCGCCCACCUCACAUGUGUGAGGUACUGGGUUCGAUCCUCAGCACCACA
rnacentral:tRNA from 1 species